UCGUGAGGGGUUUGAACGUGGCUCGGUGGGAAUGAGGGGGUCCGGAAGGGCCCAAAAGAACCGGGGUGUCCCUGAGGGUCGGGGGGUGCUGAGCUCAGGAGUUUGUGACCCCAAAUCCCCCCAUUCCCUCCCAGACCCCCAAAGUUCCGGAGGUUCGGGAUGUCACCCGCAUCGAGCGGAUCGGCGCCCACUCCCACAUCCGCGGGCUGGGCCUGGACGAUGCCCUGGAGCCGCGACAGGUGUCCCAGGGCAUGGUGGGGCAGUUGUCCGCCCGCCGCGCCGCCGGCGUCAUCCUGGAGAUGAUCAAGGAGGGGAAAAUCGCCGGACGCGCCGUCCUGAUCGCCGGGCAGCCCGGGACGGGGAAAACGGCCAUUGCUAUGGGUUUGUGACCCCCAAAAACCCCC